CCCAACUCUCUUGAAGGAGAAGGUUAAUCUUGUCUCCUUGGACCUUGGGUGUGGUUGUGUAUAUGUGAAUAUUGGAGCUUGAUUGGUGACUUUGAAGAGCUUGAAAAGGGUUUGGUGGUGAAAAAUCUGUUCUUGAAGGUGUUGAGACCUUGAGAGCUUGAGAAAAAAGUGGUUUGGAAGUGCUCCGGUUGAGCUUGGAAAAUCGGCUAAGAUGCAGGACGUGAGAUUUCCCGCUGAGGCAUGCUAGAGAUUUCUAGAUUUGCGAAGACCCUUUGUUCUCGAGACUAUGUUUUGCUUUAUAUGUUUUGCUUAGAUACUUUUAUCUCCAUUAAAUAAUACAAACUGUGAUGACUCCUCUUAUGGGAGAUUUUGGAGAAUAAGUUUCUGUAUUUGU